GACGAACGCUGGCGGCGUGCUUAACACAUGCAAGUCGAACGGAAAGGCCCUGCUUUUGUGGGGUGCUCGAGUGGCGAACGGGUGAGUAACACGUGAGUAACCUGCCCUUGACUUUGGGAUAACUUCAGGAAACUGGGGCUAAUACCGGAUAGGAGCUCCUGCUGCAUGGUGGGGGUUGGAAAGUUUCGGCGGUUGGGGAUGGACUCGCGGCUUAUCAGCUUGUUGGUGGGGUAGUGGCUUACCAAGGCUUUGACGGGUAGCCGGCCUGAGAGGGUGACCGGCCACAUUGGGACUGAGAUACGGCCCAGACUCCUACGGGAGGCAGCAGUGGGGAAUAUUGCACAAUGGGCGGAAGCCUGAUGCAGCAACGCCGCGUGCGGGAUGACGGCCUUCGGGUUGUAAACCGCUUUCGCCUGUGACGAAGCGUGAGUGACGGUAAUGGGUAAAGAAGCACCGGCUAACUACGUGCCAGCAGCCGCGGUGAUACGUAGGGUGCGAGCGUUGUCCGGAUUUAUUGGGCGUAAAGGGCUCGUAGGUGGUUGAUCGCGUCGGAAGUGUAAUCUUGGGGCUUAACCCUGAGCGUGCUUUCGAUACGGGUUGACUUGAGGAAGGUAGGGGAGAAUGGAAUUCCUGGUGGAGCGGUGGAAUGCGCAGAUAUCAGGGGGAACACCAGUGGCGAAGGCGGUUCUCUGGGCCUUUCCUGACGCUGAGGAGCGAAAGCGUGGGGAGCGAACAGGCUUAGAUACCCUGGUAGUCCACGCUGUAAACGGUGGGUACUAGGUGUGGGGUCCAUUCCACGGGUUCCGUGCCGUAGCUAACGCUUUAAGUACCCCGCCUGGGGAGUACGGCCGCAAGGCUAAAACUCAAAGGAAUUGACGGGGCCCCGCACAAGCGGCGGAGCAUGCGGAUUAAUUCGAUGCAACGCGUAGAACCUUACCCGGGUUUGACAUGGAUCGGGAGCGCUCAGAGAUGGGUGUGCCUCUUUUGGGGUCGGUUCACAGGUGGUGCAUGGCUGUCGUCAGCUCGUGUCGUGAGAUGUUGGGUUAAGUCCCGCAACGAGCGCAACCCUUGUUCACUGUUGCCAGCACGUUAUGGUGGGGACUCAGUGGAGACCGCCGGGGUCAACUCGGAGGAAGGUGGGGAUGACGUCAAGUCAUCAUGCCCCUUAUGUCCAGGGCUUCACGCAUGCUACAAUGGCUGGUACAGAGAGUGGCGAGCCUGUGAGGGUGAGCGAAUCUCGGAAAGCCGGUCUCAGUUCGGAUUGGGGUCUGCAACUCGACCUCAUGAAGUCGGAGUCGCUAGUAAUCGCAGAUCAGCAACGCUGCGGUGAAUACGUUCCCGGG
rnacentral:rRNA from 1 species